AAACCAACCAAUUAAUCUGCUUACCUGAAUGUGUUUUCCCAGAAAUUUAGAAAAAGUUGGUAAUAGUGAUGCUAUUUAAUGAGUCUUAAGGACAGUGGAGGUCUUUACAGUCCCUCAAAGUGGCUAUAGUA
ensembl:snoRNA